UACGUAGGGGGCUAGCGUUGUCCGGAAUCAUUGGGCGUAAAGCGCGUGUAGGCGGCCCGGUAAGUCCGCUGUGAAAGUCGGGGGCUCAACCCUCGGAUGCCGGUGGAUACUGUCGGGCUAGAGUGCGGGAGAGGCGAGUGGAAUUCCUGGUGUAGCGGUGAAAUGCGCAGAUAUCAGGAGGAACACCAAUUGCGAAGGCAGCUCGCUGGAACGUUACUGACGCUGAGACGCGAAAGCGUGGGGAGCGAACAGG
rnacentral:rRNA from 1 species